rnacentral:rRNA from 1 species
AUUGAACGCUGGCGGCAGGCCUAACACAUGCAAGUCGAGCGAGCGGCGGAUGGGUGAGUAAUGCCUGGGAAUUGCCCAGUCGAGGGGGAUAACCGUUGGAAACGACUGCUAAUACCGCAUACGAUUGGAUUGCCCAGGUGGGAUUAGCUAGUUGGUGAGGGAAUGGCUCACCAAGGCGACGAUCCCUAGCUGGGCUGAGAGGAUGAUCAGCCAAACUGGAAAUGAGACACGGUCCAGACGCCUACGGGAGGGAGCAGUGGGAAAUAUGGCACAAGGGGGGAAACCCUGAGGCAGCCAUGCCGCGUGUGGGAAGAAGGCCUGCGGGUUGUAAAGAACGUUCAGCGAGGAGGCGUUACUCGCAGAAGAAGCACCGGCUAACUCCGUGCCAGCAGCCGCGGUAAUAC